CCUACGGGUGGCAGCAGUGAGGAAUAUUGGGCAAUGGGCGUAAGCCUGAACCAGCCAAGCCGCGUGAGGGAUGAAGGUUCUAUGGAUCGUAAACCUCUUUUGUAAGGGAAUAAAGUCCGGGACGUGUCCCGCUGUGCAUGUACCUUACGAAUAAGGAUCGGCUAACUCCGUGCCAGCAGCCGCGGUAAUACGGAGGAUCCGAGCGUUAUCCGGAUUUAUUGGGUUUAAAGGGUGCGCAGGGGGGCUUUUAAGUCAGCGGGGAAAGUCCGGGGCUCAACCCUGGACUUGCCGUUGAAACUGGCAGGCUGGAGUGGGUGAGAGGAAGGCGGAAGGCGCGGUGUAGCGGUGAAAUGCGUAGAUAUCGCGCAGAACCCCGAUUGCGAAGGCAGCAUGCCGGGUCAUGACUGACGCUGAGGCACGAAAGCGUGGGUAUCAAACAGGAUUAGAUACCCUAGUAGUC
rnacentral:rRNA from 1 species